AACAGAGGAUGCAAGCGUUGUCCGGAAUUAUUGGGCGUAAAGAGCUCGUAGGCGGUCUGUCACGUCGGCUGUGAAAACCCGAGGCUCAACCUCGGGCCUGCAGUCGAUACGGGCAAACUAGAGUGUUGCAGGGGAGACUGGAAUUCCUGGUGUAGCGGUGAAAUGCGCAGAUAUCAGGAGGAACACCGGUGGCGAAGGCGGGUCUCUGGGCAACAACUGACGCUGAGGAGCGAAAGCGUGGGGAGCGAACAGG
rnacentral:rRNA from 1 species